GUGGGGAGGCUGGAUCCUGGACGGUGUCCUGGCGCCCUGUGCUCCGGGGCCUGCGCUGCUGGAUUCGCGCUCCCGCCCCGCAGCCCCCU
rnacentral:pre_miRNA from 1 species